GAAUGACGUGGAAAACACAACGGGAACAGGCACGAGAAGAGUCCCCAGAAGUUAUUUAUGAGCAGCCUGGAAAGCAAAAUAUUUUCAGAUUAAAAAGGAAAACGGCAUCCACUGCUCUCCCUGAGGUGUGUCCUUGCAGCAGGGAUUUGUCAGGAGCCUGCACUGAGCCGUCUCUGCGCGGCUCAUGGAGAACCAGGAUGGUUUUCCCCUACAUCCACGGGGAAUUUUGGCACAAAAGUGGGCUUGUUUUAAGUGGCCUGGGCCAGGCUCUUCCUUCCAUGGCUUCUUUGGAGCCAACCAAAACCAAGGUUGAAUUUGGGGGUGGUUCCUGUAGUGUUAGAGACUGCGGUCCCCAAAAUCCGUCAUUGCUCUGGAGAGCUGCUGCUGGAGGGGAUUUUGGAUUCCUGCAGCAUCUCCCAGCGCUUGUCAGGGCUCUACAAACACACAUUUCUGGUCUUUCUUUCGAGUAUUCCCUCUCUCCAGUUUGGAUCCUUACAUGUAGUCUCUUUGCAGGCACUCCUCAGACAUUUCCAGCUUGUUUUCACUUCUUAUUUUCAAAUAUAUUUGUAUAAAGGUGGAUAUAGUUUGGUCACAAUGAUUUGGGAACUCCAAACAUCUCGUGUACAAUUAACGGGGAGACAAAGAUCAGGCUGAGGAAGGUGAAAACGAGCUGGGAGCUCCCUGGUUGUGCCCUCCCAUCCCCACAUCUUGCACCAAGCUGGUUUUCACACCAGAGAGGAAUUUUUUCCAGUCAGUUUUUAGGACAGGGAUUGCCUGACUCCAGUCAGGCUCAUUUCCAUCUUGGUGGCUGCUGGAGCACCUGAUAAUCCCAGUCCUGGAGUGUGAGAAACGAGUCUUACUCUUUAAAAUUUUAAAAGUUUCAUAAGGGAUAAAAAAGGAAUUUUACAGCGCUGGGUGCAUAUCCAGAGUUAGAGGCACUCUGGUUAACUAUAACUCUUCUUAUAUACAUUUUAUUGCAUUGAUUAAAUGUAUAUUAAUGAAGAUUAUACAUAUUCAAACUUGGUUUUUUUGAGUUCUUUUAUGUGUUUCUGGGAAUUCUUUAGCUUGGUUUGGCUCCUGACCUGUCGUGCAAAAGUGUAAUUUGAUUUUUGAGAGUCGCUAUUUCUUCACAAUGACAAAUGAGGAGUUACUGAUAAUCAAAUGCUCAGUGGCAGAAGCCUUCACAUCUUCUUUUUUGAUGUUAUUUGUGUGGUUCUUUUAGUGUUGUCUAAUCAUACAGGGUUUUUUAACUACAAUAGUUUUAACUAUUUCCACAAAUUUGAGUUAUUCUCACUAUUGUCAGCUACAAAAGCAUCAGCUACUUCUGAAAAAAAUUAAAAUGCACAACACAGUUUUUAUUUAAUAUUUUGCAAAAGCCUAAACUAUAAUAUAUGUUAAUCACACAAAUAUAUUUAUAUAUAUGAGCUACACAGGGCCAGGACUUUGGCCACAAAAGCUGACAAAUUAUACUAUAUUAAAACCAGUGAAUAUAUUUAAUAUACCCACACUGUUUUACCCUUUAUCUAGCACACCAGAAUCACUGAGUUUUCCCAGUUUCCUCACACCCCUUUCUGUGGCCUUUAGCCCAAAUUCCUGAGGGAAUUUGAAUGCUGAUUUCCCAUGUGAGGAGCUUACAUUUCUGCAGCCAGGCUAAGGUUUAAUUUGCUUUCUCAGCAAGAUCUCAAAUCAAAGAUUGAUCAGAGAUUGAUCAGAGAUUGAUAAUCCUGUAGCUAAACAAGAUAUUCACACUGCUCGAAGCCCCUGCACACGUUUCUGCAGUGGAAUCCCACCCUGAGCUGCCCUCUCAGGUGACUGAUCCCAGCACUGAUGCAGAUGUUCAGAUUUGGGGAAGAUCCAAAGUUUGAGAAGGAAAACUGCAGCUUGGAGGUGUUAAUUGUCACCUCGUGCUGAUGAAAGGGCAGCAGCCUGGGGAAGGGAGGAAAGCAACAAGAAUAACAGGUUUAAAACGUGCAACAAUAGUAAAUAUUAAAUUUAUUAUUAAAAUAAAUAUUAAAUUAAAUAUUAAAAUAAACA
rnacentral:lncRNA from 1 species